GAGAGAGAGAGAGAGAGAGAAAGAGAGAAGAGGGGAAGGAAGAGAAACGCGUUUUGAGUGUAGUAUAAACCUUAUUGAACACAUCGGCGAAUACGAACAGAGUGUUACAAACAAUGUCUGUGAUGCUUUUUUGUAAGAUUUAGGCCCAGUUCAGCAUGAAUAAGGAUAAGCAAGUAGAGAAGUAUUCUUUGUGAAAAAUAUUCGUGUAAUCUUGUAAACCUUCGACCUCUAUCAAGACACUACGAGAUGAGACUAAUUCGUCGAUUGAAAGCACAGAACAUGGCCAAAUAAUAAGCAGGCGAUGUGUAUGUAUAUAUAUAUAUUUGCAUAUAUAUAUAUAUAUAUAUAUAUAUAUAUUUUUUUUUUUUUGCAAUCUAGCCAAUAUCAGAAGCAACCUACACGAACGUCAGAAAUCUUCGUAACAUUGUAACGUAUUGUAAUGUUUUGUGUAAAAUUAACUUUAGAUUGUGAUGUUUACAUUGUGGCUUCUUUUUUUUUCUUAAGAAACAACAAAGCCUUUACAAAACGUUCAAACGUAACGAAGGAAAACUUAAACGGAUAAUUAUCUCCGGAUCACUCGCUUAUCAACGCAUACACGAAUAAUACACAAAUUACCAUAUUGGGCCUAAAUCAAAAGAUAUAUACAAAGUGCACUACACAGUGGACUUAGAUAUGUCUGUAAAACUCUGACUUACUGCGACGGUGGAGCCAUUUUUUCCGACACCACCGGCAAGAAUGACGGAUAUACUGCUUUGUGCAAGUAAAAUAGCGAUGCCCACGGCGAUCCAUAAUGGAAAGAUCUUGACCUCUGUGCCAGUAUAUGGCAACUGCAUGAGCGAUACGAAACAUCUUUCCGUUAGUUGGCUUCAACAGCAAGCAGAGUGAAUAUUCUUAAUCGCUUUAAUACAUUUCAUUAUUAUAUCUAAGCAUCUUGAAAGAGAAAGAGAGAGAGAGAGAGAGAGAGAGAGAAAUUUAAUUAUAUAUGUGCGUGUUUGUGUGUAUGUAUAUAUAAAGGAAUGUAAAUAGAAAGAUAAUUAGAAGAAGAGAAAGAGAAAUAAAGUGCCCUUGAAAUGAUUUUCAUUCGAUACAUCCACAAUGAUAGUCAAAAUUUUUAUAUCUGUAUAAUAAAGAACGAAAUAUUGCUCUCCUACUCGACCAUCAUCGCCAUAACCACAAACAGAAUCCAAUUCGGAUACCUCAACAAUCUCAUAAGAUUAAAAAUAUCGAGUACGAAAUGACGAUAAAUAAAUGACUUUCAACAUCGCAUUGCACGAGAGUGCACCAAGUUACCAGAGAGUACAAGUAAAAGAUAUACCGUAUUCAUCCCUAACAGAGGCAGUUCGAGAUGGUAGGUGCUAGUUAUAUAUGUCCUCCCACAAUGGAAAUGAUUAAUUAGAAAAAUAGAGAAAGUAGGUACUAUGGAUAGGAUAGUUGUACUAGGAGAGAAAGAGAGAGAGAGAGAGAGAGAGAGAGAGAGAGAGAGAGAGAGAGAGAGAGAGAGAGAGAGAGAGAGAGAGAGGGAAGGAGAGAAAGAGAAAGGGAGAGAGCUAGAUAUUAGAAAGAAAAAGACAGAGAAAGAAGAAAAGAAACAAAGAAAAAGUGAUUAUCAAGCGUAAGAAACUGUUGCAAAAUUUGGUGAGAAAAGUUUGUUCUAAUCUACACUGGCAGAGGUAACAGAAGAGGUUAAACAAAUUUUUUUCCAGUAUUUUUUGUUUUGUUUAUUUUUGGUUUUUUAUUAAAUACUGUGCGAGCGAUCAAAUCUUUUUUUUUGUUUGGUCUGUUUUGUUUCUUUUUCUUCGAACUUACUGCAAUUGUCGAACCGUUCUUUCCAAUUCCACCGGAUUCAAAGACUUUACAAAAUUGAAGAAAGACGUGCGCGUAGCCCGCGUAAAAUAUCGCUGCCACGUAACAACUGAGUGUGCCCAGACCGAGCAUAGGGAUCUAAACAAAUCCAGAAAAUCUUACUCUUUAAGAAGAUCGUGAAGAGCAGAAGAGAAAAACUUUUAUGUGAGUUUUAUAUCUACUAUCACACUCGAUUGUAUUCGACGUUGGCACGAAUUCUUCAUGUCUCUAUAGUCAUCUAAAGAACGCAGACCUUCCAAUUCAUUCCUUUUCGAUUAUCAACGAUUCGAUUCUAAUCCGUAAUGAGAUCAAAUAGAGAAAAGCCAAAAAUACUCGAAGAUGAGACGAUUAUGAGGUACAUAACAGCAAAUUACAGCACUCUUCUUCGGUCGCAAUUUAAAAGAAAUAUGGAUCAUCAUCAUUGAAGACGAUACAUUAUUCAAUAUCUUUACUAUACUCUUUUUAUAGAGGCAUACUUAAAAGGAAGCACAAUUAAUUGCUAAGUAAGAGUGUAUGUGUUUUCGUCGUUGUCGUAUUACUGUUGUUGUUACUGUUUAUUUUGUUCUAUGUAGUCGAUCAACAAAAAGAAACGAGCGCAAAAGUAUAAGCAGGGGAGGGGACAUGUGGGAAAAACUAAGGAAGAAACAAAUAUUGCAUAAUUUUGUUAAUACGUUAAUUAAUGGACUUCGAUUUGACGCCAAUUGAGGUAAUUAUGGGAUUAGCGAUAAUCUCAAAUCGAAAGAGAUUUGACAGAAUGAUAAAUUAUAGGGAAAACCUCGAUUAUCGGCGCGAAAUAUAAAAACUAAUCAUAUUGUAAAAUUAAAAAAAUUCUGAUCGAGGAAAAAAAUCUCCUCGAUGAAUAAAUAUUAAAUUUGCGAUAUUAUUACGUCGCUUUUAUAUUCUACACCAAGCACCAAUGAUUAAAAUACAAAUGAAGAAAAAAAAAAAAAAAAAAAAAUAAUUGCAGCAAAAAUUCUAUAUAUACACUGUAAUAAUACGAAUAAAAGAACGCUUAAGAACCUAUAUUUAUAUACAGAACAAUAAAUUACAUUCGAACGUAACAUCUCUACGUUGUAAAAAUUU